rnacentral:ncRNA from 1 species
UCAAUUUUAUUGAAAUAAGAUACCCGGUAAAACGGGUUUAAUAGGGAAUCACGUGUAAAUCGUGAGCUGUCGCGCAACUGUAAAGUCCAAUUCAGUUUUGCAACCUAAUGCCACUGUUCCAAAUCAUUGGAGCGGGAAGGCGUUGUAAAACGGACAAGCCAGGAGACCUGUCUUAAUUUUUAUGAACGG